UACGUAGAGGGCAAGCGUUGUCCGGAAUCAUUGGGCGUAAAGAGCGUGUAGGUGGCUCGGUAAGUCCGCUGUGAAAGUCCAGGGCUCAACCCUGGAAAGCCGGUGGAAACUGUCGAGCUCGAGUCCGGAAGAGGCGAGUGGAAUUCCUGGUGUAGCGGUGAAAUGCGCAGAUAUCAGGAGGAACACCAAUGGCGAAGGCAGCUCGCUGGGACGGUACUGACACUGGAGGCACGAAAGCCAGGGGAGCAAACGGG
rnacentral:rRNA from 1 species